ensembl:lncRNA
UAUAACAUUUCCAUCUUUUCAGAACUCUGAAGCUCAGAGGCCAGGAGCUGAGAUUUGUGGGAUAGAUAGAGAAAUUAAUAAAUAAUUAAAUAAAUAGAUAAAUAAAUAAAUAUGGUUUCGUUCAGUAGAGGGUGCUGUUGUUCUUUUCUGGUGCGUCUCUCAAGGGCAGGGAGGUGCAGAGAGUUCCUCAGGGGCUCAAAUAUUGAAAAGGUCUACAUCACCAAAGAGCUCAUUUCACUACUUUACUAACUUUAAUUUAACUCCAUAUUCUCAUCACCCUGGUGAACAUAAACAGACUGUGUGAGGUCACAGUGAUGGAUAUGAGAAUAACACUACUUAUAUAAACUAAUGGUAUUUUAUUUUUACAUUUAUAGAAACAAUUACAAUUAAAAUUUCAUUUAAAAAAUAAAUGGAGAUUUUAAUGAUUUAUAUCACAAUUUCUUUUAUAUUGUUUAGGCUACAGGACUAAAUGUAUUAUAUUAGUUAACAAGGGGCAAGUUACUAUAUGUAUAUAGCACCACUAAUAUAUAUAUAUAUAUAUAUUAUACAUGGUUGUAGGAGCUGUUAUACAUGGGCAGGACACGUCCCCGUCCCCCCACACACAUUUUGUCAAAAUCUAGGUUUUGUCCCUCCACUUUUUCCUAAUGUCAUGUUUUACGUCGCAUUGCCUGCCUGUCUCCGAGGGUUCCCGAGUUGGACAGUGUCUAAACGAAUCCAUGCCACAACUUUUAGAAACAUAAUUCAAUAAAAAUCGAACUUUGUGUAUAGUAAGUGCAGGGGUCAGACAGGGGUAGCUAGGGCUCGCUGAACCGUUCACCUGUUGCUGAGCUUUACGGAGCGGAGCCUCCGUCACUGCGAGCUAACAAGCAAACCCUGGUAUGGAUUUUCAGACACGCGGCUACUCUUACACAAUGAAAGCAGAAUGGAUUUAUUUAGUGAUGACUCGAAUAUUCCGUGUCCGUCCGUGAAAACGACCCUCGCGUCCUGAUGUGACGGCGGUCACGACACGGCGUUCAGAUGAAAGAUUUAGCAGUCUGUAUUUGAGGAAGGAUAUCGCAGUUGUCUCAGCCCAGGAACCUGCUGGAUUUGAUUGACAAUUUUGUUGUUGAAAUAAUUAUUUAGUCUGUGAAACUGUCAAAUAAGUUGCAUAAGUUUGCAAGCUAGCUAGCACACCAAAGCUGUGUGCAUGUGUUAUGGCUACCUGUCUAUAAACGAUUUAACUGUAGUUACAAUGUUCACACGGAGACGAGCUUCCUAUAAUAUUUGAAGAGGGAGAGGACAGAGGAGUAGAAAAGACUGAGGACGGUGAGAUUGUAAGUGGAAUGGAUAGCUAGCAGUUAGUAGCUGGUUCAGGUCACACCGUGUGGGAUGUUUGGGACGCGGACGCCGUCGUGUGAGGAUCGCUCCCGCUGUUGGUGCGUUGGAGACCGAAUGUGUCUUCAUUUUCUGUCGUGAUUCUGGAAGACGUCGCCGUUGUAGAGCAGAACUCCCGCAGUAGCUCGCCCUGUCAUCCAGCCAGAAAACUGAACAACAGAGGGGUUUUCUUCAGCAAAAUAUCCUCCAACUCGUACUCCUAGCUUCACCUCAACUACAGAAACACCGAUCCUCACAGGAUGGAGCCACGACCCAGCAUGUACUGUGGAUAGCUAUGCUAACUAGCAGCUGUUCUUAAUGAUUACAGGAGCUAGUGUUUUAAAUGAACAAUUCUCUGUUUGGAGUAAUAUCAAUGAAUAAACUCAGCUUCAUUCAGUGACGUACAUCACAACUCGUAGCUCCAGGUUUUCUCUUUUUGAUUUUUUUUUAUGAAUCAAUGCUAUUGGUCACGCUUUACGUCUGUCUGUGUGUUUUACAAAAAUAUAACCAAUGAAAAGUCAUUAGAAAUGAGGACUUAAAGUGCUUUAUUAAAAAAAAAAUCUUCUCAGGGGAGCAUGCCCCCGACCCCACUAGCAUUUCAGCGCCCCCACUGUUCAAAAUCGCUCCUACACCCCUGUAUAUAUAUGUGUAUAUAUAUAUAUAUAUAUAUAUAUAUAUAUAUA